CUCCAUGUUGUUCAUUGGAAUUCAGACAAAUACCCCAGCUUUGUUGAGGCAGCUCAUGAACCAGAUGGACUGGCUGUCUUGGGAGUGUUUUUACAGGCGUGCCCCUUUGUCACACCCCAUACUCUCCAUGUGUUGUAACUCAUGAACAGAGAAUGCUUCAUGGAUGGCAACAAUUCCUUGCCUUUGGACACCAAGUAGGGGUGGUUGCGGCAGGAUCCGCGUGCUUUAAAACCUUCAGAUUGGUGAACCUAAUUCCCGACUGCAAAAGAUUACUGACAUUUUGGAUUCCAUUAAAGAAAAGGGUAAACAAACUCGAUUCACAAAUUUUGACCCAUUAUCUCUGCUUCCACCAUCCUGGGACUACUGGACAUAUCCUGGUUCUCUUACAGUUCCACCUCUUCUUGAGAGUGUCACAUGGAUUGUUUUAAAGCAACCUAUAAACAUCAGCUCUCAACAG
rnacentral:sRNA from 1 species